rnacentral:rRNA from 1 species
UCGGCUAACUCCGUGCCAGCAGCCGCGGUAAUACGGAGGAUGCAAGCGUUAUCCGGAAUCAUUGGGCGUAAAGAGUCCGUAGGUGGCUCUUCAAGUCUGCUUUCAAAAACCGAAGCUCAACUUCGGAAAGGGGGUGGAAACUGAAGAGCUAGAGUAUAGUAGGGGUAGAGGGAAUUCCUAGUGUAGCGGUGAAAUGCGUAGAGAUUAGGAAGAACACCAGUGGCGAAGGCGCUCUACUGGGCUUGUACUGACACUGAGGGACGAAAGCUAGGGGAGCGAAAGGGAUUAU